rnacentral:pre_miRNA from 1 species
AAUAAGUGCAGUUUUGUACUAUUCACGUUUAACGUUUGACCGUUCGUCUUAUUUGAAAAUUUUUUAUGAUUAUUAUUUUUAUUAUGAUAAAAUAUGAAUAGUACUUUAUGUGUGACUAAAUAUUUUAAAAUUUUUCACAAAUUUUUCAAAUAAGAUGGACGGUCAAAUGUUGAACACGGAUAUCCAUGACUGCACUUAUU